UACGUAGGUGGCAAGCGUUGUCCGGAAUUAUUGGGCGUAAAGCGCGCGCAGGCGGUCCUUUAAGUUUGAUGUGAAAGCCCACGGCUCAACCGUGGAGGGUCAUUGGAAACUGGGGGACUUGAGUACAGAAGAGGAAAGCGGAAUUCCACGUGUAGCGGUGAAAUGCGUAGAGAUGUGGAGGAACACCAGUGGCGAAGGCGGCUUACUGGUCCGGUACUGACGCUGAGGUGCGAAAGCGUGGGGAGCAAACAGG
rnacentral:rRNA from 1 species